AGUUUCUUUAUCGAAAAAGUGCCCCCUCUUGUUUUCUCGUCGACUGCUCCAUCCCCAUUUACUUCCUAUUCUUCUUCCUUUGCUAGGGCACAACAACAACAGUGCAGCACCCCAAAUUUCGUGCUCCUUCCUCUUCUUCCUCUGAACCUCUCUCCCUUGUUGAUUGAAGCUCUCCAUCGCCGAUUUUUCUCUCCAAAAAUCGUCAGCAACAAUGGAGGGACGAAUGUUUUGGUUGGUUUCGUUACUCUUUUCUCUCUUUUUAGUUUUUUUUUUGUGUGGAGAGGAGAAGACAACACUAUUUUCUCUCUUUCUCUCUCUAAAAAACCACUUACACGACCCGUUCUCUUCACCUAUCCACCCAUUUUCUUCACCCAUCUACCUAUCACUCGAUAUUCACAACCGCAGCCCCCACCCCUCGAACGUCAAACGUCGGCCCUACCUUCACCAGUGUUCUUUUCCGCACCAACCCACGGAUGAAUCUAUUAUUCAUGUAUUGUGUUACAUAACUUAGAUUCACUCGAGAGGGCUUAAUAUCAAGCUAGUGGAUGGGUACUUGUUGGAUCUUUGAAAGGAGAUUUAAAGGUUCCAUUGAGAGCAAAAAAAUGUGCGUAUUUCCCUUUUGAGGAACUUUGUGACAAGCCUCUAGGAGUUGCAGAUUACUUCGGGUUGUUUAGUAAGUGAUCUUUCAAGAUGACAUUUGCCUCUAAGAGCUGCAGAUUACUUUGGGUUGUUUAGUAAGUGAUCUUUAAAGAUGAUAUUUGCCUCUAAGAGCUGCGAUUACUUCGGGUUGUUUGGUAUUGGAGGGUAAUAUUUCAGGAUGACAUUUGCCUUUGUUUAAAAAAUUCCAUACUCUAGCAUUUGAAGGUGUCCCAAUAUUUGGACUCCACAACAGAACAGCAGCAUAUCGUUUUGUCACUUUGGUUGAUAUAAGUUUGACUUCAUAUUUGGAUGUAGUUUACUUUUAUAACCUCAAUUUACGUGGAAGUUUGUUACUUUUGUGACUUUGAGUCGUUUGCUAGAACCUUUCAACCUAGUUUAUCAGCUACUAUGGUAGAAUGUUAUAUCAUUUUAGUGUGUUUUAUGUAAUCAGUUUUUUUUUAUAUAUAUUGAAUAAUAGUUAUUAUAUUUAAAUAAUAAUGCAAGAAGUUAAAGUUUGUUAUCA